GAUGAACGCUGGCGGCGUGCCUAAUACAUGCAAGUCGAGCGAACAGACGAGGAGCUUGCUCCUCUGACGUUAGCGGCGGACGGGUGAGUAACACGUGGAUAACCUACCUAUAAGACUGGGAUAACUUCGGGAAACCGGAGCUAAUACCGGAUAAUAUAUUGAACCGCAUGGUUCAAUAGUGAAAGACGGUUUUGCUGUCACUUAUAGAUGGAUCCGCGCCGCAUUAGCUAGUUGGUAAGGUAACGGCUUACCAAGGCGACGAUGCGUAGCCGACCUGAGAGGGGGAUCGGCCACACUGGAACUGAGACACGGUCCAGACUCCUACGGGAGGCAGCAGUAGGGAAUCUUCCGCAAUGGGCGAAAGCCUGACGGAGCAACGCCGCGUGAGUGAUGAAGGUCUUCGGAUCGUAAAACUCUGUUAUUAGGGAAGAACAAAUGUGUAAGUAACUAUGCACGUCUGACGGUACCUAAUCAGAAAGCCACGGCUAACUACGUG
rnacentral:rRNA from 1 species